AGUGAACGCUGGCGGUAGGCCUAACACAUGCAAGUCGAACGGCAGCACAGUAAGAGCUUGCUCUUACGGGUGGCGAGUGGCGGACGGGUGAGGAAUACAUCGGAAUCUACUUUUUCGUGGGGGAUAACGUAGGGAAACUUACGCUAAUACCGCAUACGACCUACGGGUGAAAGCAGGGGAUCUUCGGACCUUGCGCGAUUGAAUGAGCCGAUGUCGGAUUAGCUAGUUGGCGGGGUAAAGGCCCACCAAGGCGACGAUCCGUAGCUGGUCUGAGAGGAUGAUCAGCCACACUGGAACUGAGGAACGGUCCCGAAUCCUAAGGGAGGCAGCCGUGGGGAAUAUUGGACAAUGGGCGCAAGCCUGAUCCAGCCAUACCGCGUGGGUGAAAAAGGCCUUCGGGUUGUAAAGCCCUUUUGUUGGGAAAGAAAAGCAGCAGGUUAAUACCCCGCUGUUCUGACGGUACCCAAAGAAUAAGCACCGGCUAACUUCGUG
rnacentral:rRNA from 1 species